AUCAUGGCUCAGGAUGAACGCUGGCGGCGUGCUUAACACAUGCAAGUCGAACGAUGAAGCCCAGCUUGCUGGGUGGAUUAGUGGCGAACGGGUGAGUAACACGUGAGUAACCUGCCCUUAACUCUGGGAUAAGCCUGGGAAACUGGGUCUAAUACCGGAUAGGAGCGUCCACCGCAUGGUGGGUGUUGGAAAGAUUUAUCGGUUUUGGAUGGACUCGCGGCCUAUCAGCUUGUUGGUGAGGUAAUGGCUCACCAAGGCGACGACGGGUAGCCGGCCUGAGAGGGUGACCGGCCACACUGGGACUGAGACACGGCCCAGACUCCUACGGGAGGCAGCAGUGGGGAAUAUUGCACAAUGGGCGAAAGCCUGAUGCAGCGACGCCGCGUGAGGGAUGACGGCCUUCGGGUUGUAAACCUCUUUCAGUAGGGAAGAAGCGAAAGUGACGGUACCUGCAGAAGAAGCACCGGCUAACUACGUGCCAGCAGCCGCGGUAAUACGUAGGGUGCGAGCGUUAUCCGGAAUUAUUGGGCGUAAAGAGCUCGUAGGCGGUUUGUCGCGUCUGUCGUGAAAGUCCGGGGCUUAACCCCGGAUCUGCGGUGGGUACGGGCAGACUAGAGUGCAGUAGGGGAGACUGGAAUUCCUGGUGUAGCGGUGGAAUGCGCAGAUAUCAGGAGGAACACCGAUGGCGAAGGCAGGUCUCUGGGCUGUAACUGACGCUGAGGAGCGAAAGCAUGGGGAGCGAACAGGAUUAGAUACCCUGGUAGUCCAUGCCGUAAACGUUGGGCACUAGGUGUGGGGACCAUUCCACGGUUUCCGCGCCGCAGCUAACGCAUUAAGUGCCCCGCCUGGGGAGUACGGCCGCAAGGCUAAAACUCAAAGGAAUUGACGGGGGCCCGCACAAGCGGCGGAGCAUGCGGAUUAAUUCGAUGCAACGCGAAGAACCUUACCAAGGCUUGACAUGUUCUCGAUCGCCGUAGAGAUACGGUUUCCCCUUUGGGGUGGGUUCACAGGUGGUGCAUGGUUGUCGUCAGCUCGUGUCGUGAGAUGUUGGGUUAAGUCCCGCAACGAGCGCAACCCUCGUUCCAUGUUGCCAGCACGUCGUGGUGGGGACUCAUGGGAGACUGCCGGGGUCAACUCGGAGGAAGGUGAGGACGACGUCAAAUCAUCAUGCCCCUUAUGUCUUGGGCUUCACGCAUGCUA
rnacentral:rRNA from 1 species